UACGGAGGGUGCGAGCGUUGUCCGGAAUCACUGGGCGUAAAGAGUGUGUAGGCGGUGCUCUAAGUUUGGUGUGAAAUCUCCCGGCUCAACUGGGAGGGUGCGCCGAAAACUGGAAUGCUUGAACAUGGGAGAGGAAAGCGGAAUUCCUGGUGUAGCGGUGAAAUGCGUAGAUAUCAGGAGGAACACCUGCGGUGUAGACGGCUUUCUGGACCAUUGUUGACGCUGAGACACGAAAGCGUGGGUAGCAAACAGG
rnacentral:rRNA from 1 species